rnacentral:misc_RNA from 1 species
UUGAUAAGCGUGAGGUCGGAGGUUCAAGUCCUCCCAGGCCCACCAAUUUACCUAUCCAUUUGCCUUUAUCCGUUUAUUUGCCGAUUUAUCGGUCCAUUGAAUUUAAGUGUUGGUAGCGGUUUUUAUAAUGAUGAGAAAUCAUGCUUAUAAAAAAAUUCCUUAUAAAAGGCUUGUUUUUAAAAUGUGACGCUUAUCCAUUUCGCUUAGGCAAAAGAAACUUCAAGCGGUCAAAUGCAAAAGGCUUUAAAUUUUGCAAAACACUUUGAAUUUUAAAGUGGUCCAAGUUCGUGAUCUCGAAUUUAAAAGUUUCGAAUGCUUUAUCCUUUUGGGGGCCGUAGCUCAGCUGGGA